rnacentral:tRNA from 1 species
UAGACGGACGCUCGCUGGCUUGAGCGCUUAGCUGUUAACUAAGAAUUUGUGGGAUCAAGGCCCACCCGUCUAG